rnacentral:lncRNA from 1 species
GGAGGAUAGGGGUGGGGCCUGGGGAGCGAGGUGGGGGCUGGGAUAGGUGGAUGGGCGUGUGCCGCGCCGGUUGCACGUGCGUCGCCUGGCCCGUACGUGGUCACACGUGGUCACAUGCCGGCCGUCUUCCACUUCCUCAGCCUAUCAUGAAUGUAACUCCCCUCCUCCUUCUCAACCCCCUCGACCACCUCCACCUCCCCUCAGGGCGACUGGUCCAAGUCGUACGGCUACAUCAAGUCGCUGAACGCCUGGAACCUGGUGGGGCGCAAGGAGCAGUUGCUGGGUCUGCUCAAGUUGCGCAUCCAGGAGGAGGCGGUGCGCACCUACUUGCUCAGCUACGCCGGACAGUACGCCUCGCUGUCACUGGACCAGCUGGCAAGCAUGUUCGAGCUGCCAGACCGCCAGAUCUACAGGUGGGGGGUGGGGCGGGGGAGGGGGGUGUAAAUACCAGCCCAAACUACACCAAAACCAACGAAAACGAGCGGAGCACAGGCGGAGGCGUUAUGGAGGGGCAUGGGUUGGUUUGCCUGCUCGACAGGGCUUCACAUUCAGCGGCGGCGAUCGCGACGCGCGGUGGACGUCCGCAGCAUUCCCCCUCCCACAACUCGGCUCAACAGCUCCUCACCCAACUCACCUCCUACUCACCGCAUCCUCCCAACACCACCAACCUCUUGAACCCGCCGCAGCAUCGCGUCCAAGAUGAUGAUCGCGGAGGAGCUGGCGGGCAGCUGGGACCAGCCCACCCGCACCAUCGUCAUGCACGCCAACGAGGCCAGCCACGUGCAGCGCCUGGCGCUGCAGCUCGCCGACAAGGCCGCAGUGGUGGUCGACCUCAACGAGCGCGCGCUCGCCUACCGCACCGGAGGCCUGCGCGACGCCGAUGACGAGGGCGGAGCCGGCGGCGGCGGCGGCCGCCGCGGCCGCCGCGACGGCGGCCAGUGGGCCGACGACGAGGGCGGCGCGGGCGGCCGCAGCCGCGGCGGGCCGCGGGUGGGCGGGCCGCCACGGGGCAUGGGCGGCCGUGGCGGUGGAGACCGCGGUGACCGCGGCGGCGGCCGCGGUGGUGGUCGUGGUGGCGGCAUGGGCGGCGGCGCGGGCGGCGGCAUGGGCGGCGGCGGCAUGUCGGCCCUGGGCAACCUGCGCGGCGGCCCGCGCGGCGACCGCGACGGCAGCCAGCGGCCGUAGACGACGUGGGUGCGGUGGUGGUGGUGGGCUGUGUCGUGGCGGCGCGUGUGCAGUCGUGGCGGUGUGGUGGGAGCCGAGGGGUGGAGGAUGGUGGGAGCGGGUGGCAAUGAGGAGGAGAUGAGGCAGGGAGGGUGGAGGCGUGUGAAGCAUCGCAGCAGCAUUAGGCAGCGCGUGUGGUUGUGUGAUUGGNNNNNNNNNNNNNNNNNNNNNNNNNNNNNNNNNNNNNNNNNNNNNNNNNNNNNNNNNNNNNNNNNNNNNNNNNNNNNNNNNNNNNNNNNNNNNNNNNNNNGAGGGAGGGGCGAUGAGCGAGGGGGAAUUGCCGGGGUAAUCCACUGGGGACAGGAUAGAAGCAGGUCAGUCAUGGGACAGCGAGUAAGAACAUCAGGCAUUGCAAGGCGAGCGGGGGGCGAGACGGGGGGGUCGUUUCGCCGUUCCCAGUGAAGAACAAGGAACGGGGGUGGGGAUUGGAACUUAUGAGCGGGGCACUGCCCUUGCUCCGGAGCUGGAUCUUACCACCUACACAACCCCACGCACCACACCAUCACGUGCACACUCGCGCCUCCCUUCUCAAACCCCAACCUCCCUCCCUCACCGCCCGCCGCAGGUGCCCAACAUGGCCGCUAACCCGCUCAACCCCAAGAAGAAGAUGAUCUCCAAGCCCUUCCAGCGCAUCUGGGACACCUAUGCGCGCCAGGCCUUCACCGGCCCGCCCGAGAACGUGCGCGACCACGUCAUGGCCGCGAGCAGGGCGCUGGCGCAGGUGGGGAGGGGGGGGGGGCAGAGGGUAGGGGGGGUGGGGGGGAGGAGGGGGGGGGUCCAGGGUGGGGGGGAGGUGGACGGUAAGGGGUUGGGGGGUGGAGCGGCGGAGGAGCGUAAGGAUGGGGUGGGGUGGGUGUUGGACGGUGGGGCGGAGGAUAGGGGUGGGGCCUGGGGAGCGAGGUGGGGGCUGGGAUAGGUGGAUGGGCGUGUGCCGCGCCGGUUGCACGUGCGUCGCCUGGCCCGUACGUGGUCACACGUGGUCACAUGCCGGCCGUCUUCCACUUCCUCAGCCUAUCAUGAAUGUAACUCCCCUCCUCCUUCUCAACCCCCUCGACCACCUCCACCUCCCCUCAGGGCGACUGGUCCAAGUCGUACGGCUACAUCAAGUCGCUGAACGCCUGGAACCUGGUGGGGCGCAAGGAGCAGUUGCUGGGUCUGCUCAAGUUGCGCAUCCAGGAGGAGGCGGUGCGCACCUACUUGCUCAGCUACGCCGGACAGUACGCCUCGCUGUCACUGGACCAGCUGGCAAGCAUGUUCGAGCUGCCAGACCGCCAGAUCUACAGGUGGGGGGUGGGGCGGGGGAGGGGGGUGUAAAUACCAGCCCAAACUACACCAAAACCAACGAAAACGAGCGGAGCACAGGCGGAGGCGUUAUGGAGGGGCAUGGGUUGGUUUGCCUGCUCGACAGGGCUUCACAUUCAGCGGCGGCGAUCGCGACGCGCGGUGGACGUCCGCAGCAUUCCCCCUCCCACAACUCGGCUCAACAGCUCCUCACCCAACUCACCUCCUACUCACCGCAUCCUCCCAACACCACCAACCUCUUGAACCCGCCGCAGCAUCGCGUCCAAGAUGAUGAUCGCGGAGGAGCUGGCGGGCAGC